UAGUGGCGAACGGGUGAGUAACACGUGGGCAAUCUGCCCUUCACUCUGGGACAAGCCCUGGAAACGGGGUCUAAUACCGGAUAUGAGCCUGGGAGGCAUCUCCUGGGUUGUAAAGCUCCGGCGGUGAAGGAUGAGCCCGCGGCCUAUCAGCUUGUUGGUGAGGUAAUGGCUCACCAAGGCGACGACGGGUAGCCGGCCUGAGAGGGCGACCGGCCACACUGGGACUGAGACACGGCCCAGACUCCUACGGGAGGCAGCAGUGGGGAAUAUUGCACAAUGGGCGAAAGCCUGAUGCAGCGACGCCGCGUGAGGGAUGACGGCCUUCGGGUUGUAAACCUCUUUCAGCAGGGAAGAAGCGAAAGUGACGGUACCUGCAGAAGAAGCGCCGGCUAACUACGUGCCAGCAGCCGCGGUAAUACGUAGGGCGCAAGCGUUGUCCGGAAUUAUUGGGCGUAAAGAGCUCGUAGGCGGCUUGUCACGUCGAUUGUGAAAGCCCGAGGCUUAACUUCGGGUCUGCAGUCGAUACGGGCUAGCUAGAGUGUGGUAGGGGAGAUCGGAAUUCCU
rnacentral:rRNA from 1 species